UUACUCGCCUGGCAGGCACAAUAGCAUGAUCAGAAAGAUGGUUUGCCCAAAGCGAGGCUCAGCCAUUGCAGUCAAGUUGUGCUGGCCUUCACAAAUUUCCCAAAUGUGGGACUCUUGACAGCAUAAUUACUUAUAGUGGGGGAUUUCUCAUGUGAAUUUCCAUC